CUCAGGACGAACGCUGGCGGCGUGCCUAAUACAUGCAAGUCGAGCGGACAGAAGGGAGCUUGCUCCCGGAUGUUAGCGGCGGACGGGUGAGUAACACGUGGGUAACCUGCCUGUAAGACUGGGAUAACUCCGGGAAACCGGAGCUAAUACCGGAUAGUUCCUUGAACCGCAUGGUUCAAGGAUGAAAGACGGUUUCGGCUGUCACUUACAGAUGGACCCGCGGCGCAUUAGCUAGUUGGUGAGGUAACGGCUCACCAAGGCGACGAUGCGUAGCCGACCUGAGAGGGUGAUCGGCCACACUGGGACUGAGACACGGCCCAGACUCCUACGGGAGGCAGCAGUAGGGAAUCUUCCGCAAUGGACGAAAGUCUGACGGAGCAACGCCGCGUGAGUGAUGAAGGUUUUCGGAUCGUAAAGCUCUGUUGUUAGGGAAGAACAAGUAGCAAGAGUAACUGCUUAGCACCUUGACGGUACCUAACCAGAAAGCCACGGCUAACUACGUGCCAGCAGCCGCGGUAAUACGUAGGUGGCAAGCGUUGUCCGGAAUUAUUGGGCGUAAAGGGCUCGCAGGCGGUUUCUUAAGUCUGAUGUGAAAGCCCCCGGCUCAACCGGGGAGGGUCAUUGGAAACUGGGAAACUUGAGUGCAGAAGAGGAGAGUGGAAUUCCACGUGUAGCGGUGAAAUGCGUAGAGAUGUGGAGGAACACCAGUGGCGAAGGCGACUCUCUGGUCUGUAACUGACGCUGAGGAGCGAAAGCGUGGGGAGCGAACAGGAUUAGAUACCCUGGUAGUCCACGCCGUAAACGAUGAGUGCUAAGUGUUAGGGGGUUUCCGCCCCUUAGUGCUGCAGCUAACGCAUUAAGCACUCCGCCUGGGGAGUACGGUCGCAAGACUGAAACUCAAAGGAAUUGACGGGGGCCCGCACAAGCGGUGGAGCAUGUGGUUUAAUUCGAAGCAACGCGAAGAACCUUACCAGGUCUUGACAUCCUCUGACAACCCUAGAGAUAGGGCUUUCCCUUCGGGGACAGAGUGACAGGUGGUGCAUGGUUGUCGUCAGCUCGUGUCGUGAGAUGUUGGGUUAAGUCCCGCAACGAGCGCAACCCUUGAUCUUAGUUGCCAGCAUUUAGUUGGGCACUCUAAGGUGACUGCCGGUGACAAACCGGAGGAAGGUGGGGAUGACGUCAAAUCAUCAUGCCCCUUAUGACCUGGGCUACACACGUGCUACAAUGGACAGAACAAAGGGCUGCGAGACCGCAAGGUUUAGCCAAUCCCACAAAUCUGUUCUCAGUUCGGAUCGCAGUCUGCAACUCGACUGCGUGAA
rnacentral:rRNA from 1 species